rnacentral:rRNA from 1 species
GAUGAACGCUAGCUACAGGCUUAACACAUGCAAGUCGAGGGGCAGCAUGGUCUUAGCUUGCUAAGGCCGAUGGCGACCGGCGCACGGGUGAGUAACACGUAUCCAACCUGCCGUCUACUCUUGGGACAGCCUUCUGAAAGGAAGAUUAAUACAAGAUGGCAUCAUGAGUCCGCGAUGUUCACAUGAUUAAAGGGUAUUCCGGUAGACGAUGGGGAUGCGUUCCAUUAGGAUAGUAGGCGGGGUAACGGCCCACCUAGUCUUCGGAUGGAUAGGGGUUCUGACGAGGAAGGUUCCCCCACAUUGGAACUGAGCACGGGUCCAAACUCCUACGGGAGGCAGGCAGUGAGGAAUA